ACUCAAAGGAAUAGACGGGGGCCCGCACAAGCGGUGGAGUAUGUGGCUUAAUUCGAUGCAACGCGAAGAACCUUACCUGGCCUUGACAUGCUUUGGACCGGCGCUGAAAGGCGCUUUUCUCUUCGGAGACCGGAGCACAGGUGCUGCAUGGCUGUCGUCAGCUCGUGUCGUGAGAUGUUGCGUUAAGUCGCGCAACGAGCGCAACCCCUGUCCUUAGUUGCCAUCGGGUAAUGCCGGGCACUCUAAGGAGACAAACUCUCUCUGAGAGUGGGAAGGUGGGGAUGACGUCAAGUCAGGAUGGCCCUUACGGCCAGGGCUGCACACGUACUACAAUGCCCGAUACAGAGGGACGCUACACCGCGAGGUGAUGCAAAUCUCAAAAAUCGGGCCCAGUUCAGAUUGUAGUCUGCAACUCGACUACAUGAAGUUGGAAUCGCUAGUAAUGGCGCAUCAGCUACGGCGCCGUGAAUACGUUCCCGGGCCUUGUACACACCGCCCGU
rnacentral:rRNA from 1 species